GAUGAACGCUGGCGGCGUGCCUAAUACAUGCAAGUCGAGCGGACAGACGAGGAGCUUGCUGGGCUGUCGUGAGCGGCGGAGGGGAGUGUAACACGUGUAUAACCUACUUAUAAGUGGGGUAUCACUUCGGGACACGGGAUCAAAUAGCGUAGGAGAUAUUGAAGCGUGGGGUUGGAUGGUGAGAGUCGGUGGUGCGGUCUCGUAUAGCUGGAUAUGAGCCGGUUGAGCGAGUUGUGAAGGUAACGGGUUAUCAAGGGAACGAUGCGUAGCCGACCUGAGAGGGUGAUCGGCCACACUGGAACUGAGACACGGUCCAGACUCCUACGGGAGGCAGCAGUAGGGAAUCUUCCGCAAUGGGCGAAAGCCUGACGGAGCAACGCCGCGUGAGUGAUGAAGGUCUUCGGAUCGUAAAACUCUGUUAUUAGGGAAGAACAAAUGUGUAAGUAACUAUGCACGUCUUGACGGUACCUAAUAAGAAAGCCACGGCUAACUACGUG
rnacentral:rRNA from 1 species